CUGAGGUGGAUGAUGGUGCUGGUGGCACCUUAGCGGCUGUGUACUUAAUGCCCCCGAACUAUGCACUUCAAAUGGCUAACAUGGUGUACAAUAUGGUGGGUAAUUCAGAACAUCCAUGCAUCACCUGAGGCUCAUUAAGCUGAGGAUCCAAAAAGUCGUAGUCCCUAAAGCAGAGGAGUGGUUCUUCAGAGCUGAGUGGCCGGCCAUCAGCGUCCCCCAGAGGACUUGUUACGACAUUCUGGGCUCUACUUCUC